GCCCCUUUGGUGAAAUGGAUAUCACUACUGUCUUCGGAACAGUCAUUCUAGGUUCGAGUCCUGGGAGGGGCA
rnacentral:tRNA from 1 species